ACAGACGCAGAUUCGUUCCCGAUUCAGCAAGUCGGUCAUUGUUGUCGCUUUCUUGUUCCUUCUCCUGUGCUUCACUGCCCGUUCUGGAGGCAUCCAUGACACUGGACCGCUAGUUCAGUGCAGUAGCCAGUGGGACAGCUGCUGGCCUCCUGCCGGUGAGUAAGCAAUGGAUGGGCGGAGGUAGCAGCCGGAGACAGUCGACCCGGCGAGCGGCGACCUCGUCCAACACGGAGCCUAGCGGCCACUAUCCAUUCCCCAAUUCCACCAAGUCCCCCCACUCCCCAGCAGGCGCAAGCGAGGUAGGAGCUAGCAGCGGCGAUCCAGUGACCCAGUCCACAUCUCUUCUCGAUCUUCUCUGAUUUUGCUGCUUCCGUGCUGAAACCUGCAAGGCUGCAAGUGCAAGGCUACAGCAGUACAUUUGCUCUAGUAAAUCGCCGUCACGACUACACAACUGAGGAAGGAUCUCUCGCUUUAUGAGUGGUUGAUGGAGAGAAGAGAUACGAUGCGAGAGCCCAUAUCCGUGCUCGAAUGAAGCUGCAGAAAAAAAAGGCAAAGAAAGAGGACACAAAGAGGAUUCAGGGAGCUUGCGUCUUCGAUGUCGUCAGCAAGCUCUUGUUGGUGCAAGAAGCGGAAGAUGAGAGAAAUCGGUAGGACAAAUCAAGCAAAGCGCAGAUGAACUGGUAUGUUAUUUUUCUCUGUAUAGCCUGUCCUGAAGUAACACAUGUUGAAAUCUGUAACCAUAAUUAUAUAACAUCACAGGAACUUUGGUUC